GUUUCGGAAAGGAUUGGGAAACUUGACUAAUGCAUGGUAACAGGUUCUCCUUUCCUUUGCAGG
ensembl:miRNA Mir7010 microRNA 7010